UCCCAAGGUCACACAGCAACUUGGUGGUACAGCUGGGAAUAGUACAAGCUUUAACAAUGCCCAGUUCUGUGCUUUAGCCAUCAAACCAUCUAUUCCUUAGCUAACCCACCUUUCAGAGCCAUAUUUGAGAACGUUUCAACAUGAUGUUGCCAUUUUUUACUGACAGUUGUUGUUCGCCUACCAACAGUCAAUACAGAACAUGAGCAUGUGUUCUUGGGACAGGAUUGAAACAAGGCACCUGAACACAUAAGGUCCAAGCAGAACGAAGUGAUGUUCGUCGGCAAAUAUGCACUCAGUGAGCACUGCUGUAGACACUCUUACUUACCUGGCUUUGCUUAAAGCUACUGUAUGUGUCUGUUAAACACCUUUGGUCAGAUUACCCAUGUGCUUAUUUAAUGAUGUCACACUCACCUUGCUGUAACACGCAAGCUCCUCAUUCAACUGCAGAGAGCUUUGUAGACAAGGUGUGACGAAGUAGAAACUUUCUGUAAUAUUUUUAUGCUUAUGUGUGCCUCAGUUUCCCUCUGUACUUUGCAUUGUUACCCAUUGCAGAAGUGUUAAAUCUGCUCUUGGGGCAGGGCAGGAGAGAUAUGGUGUUGGCUCACUGGGUUUGAAUUAAUGGGUUAUUAAAGGGCUGGCUGCAACCAACCCACAUCAAUGGAGGGUCCACAAAGACAAUGGACUGAGCAACUGACACCUAUCCACAGGAAUCUCCGGCAAACAGAACAUGUGAACUCAGCAUGGGUCUGCAGGAGUUCGACAGUGGCCUCUCACCUGGGACUGACACAGAGAGGCAGGGCCAGAAAUGGAUUUCACAGCAUCUUGGCUGGCUGAUUAUGCUGGCUUGGCGAGCAUGGACUAUGUCUUAACCUAAGGACUUCCCAAUGCUGUGUUCCAGUUGUCUAAUAAACCUUGCUCUGUUUUGAAAAAGCU